AUUCUCACACCCUGUAGAGGUGAGAUGGGAUCUAUUUUUUGCUUACCCUGGAGUCUCUUCCAGGAAAGAGGAAUGGGAGAUCCCCUUGGGUGAAAUUUUGCUGCUGGGAAAGAGAAAAACCAAAUUGAGCUCAAUUCUUCAUUAACAUCCUCUUGAUAGAUGGAAUCCUAGAGUAAAACCCACCCCCAAACAUUUCCUUCUCAAUCCUGAAAUUUACCCCAUGAAUCUUCUUUCACUGGACCCAUUUUCACCACCAGGCGAAAAUUCCCCCCUGGGUGCCAGAGAACACCCCGUAUCUCAUUCUCUACCUUGGUCACCAGCCCUUCGGACUUCUUAUAUAUAUCUGGUUCAUUAAACUUGGUUUUAAGCUUCUCACUUGAAGAGUUAUGGGGAGUACAGUGAGGGGGCCUUGGGAUGACUGCUCAUUUCAUUGUUGAUCCUGCCUCAUUGUUAGAAAGUUCACAUUCUUUUGCUCUAAUGGAUCUCUUUACUUAGUUGCACUAUGAAGCAGUUGCCUCCUAAAUCCUUUAUAUAAAACACCCAUUAUUUGAGUCCUUUUGGGAAAAUAGCUAUUUAGACAAGAUAGGUCAGGUUAUGCCAUGGUGACAAUAGCCUGAAAAUGUUAAUGGCAUAAGGUUCUUUUCGUACCUCUACAAAGGUUGCCAGGGGUGUCUUCCAAGUGACAAUUUGGCAACCUGGGCUGCUUCCAGCUCAGCUCAGUUCCACCAUGUCACCACAAGGCCUUCUGGGUCGCAAGACCGGAAGAGACUGCGGGGAGAUCACAUGCUUCUCUGCUUCUCCAUGCUUCAGCCCGGAAAUGGUGCUUGUUGCUUCUGCCCACAGCCCAUUGGUCAGAGCUGUCACGUGACCUCAGCUAACUGCAAGGUGGCUGGGAAGUGUGGGGUUCCAGAUGGAAUAUUUGGUGAGCAUGGCUGUUUCUGCUGAACUCCACCUGCCCUUUCUUACCCUCAGGCAGGUGGAGAUGCCCUAGUGGCUGGGGAGUGGCUGUGCAGGCACUUGAAGGGGAACCUCCCAUGGAAUAAUCAAAGUAGAGUAAGUGGGAGCUGGAAGGACCGUAGGAAGCAUCUAGACCUACUUCCUCCUACCUCCAUUUUAUAGAUGAUUAAAGUGCAGCCCAGAGACACUCAGUGGCUAACUCAUGGUCACACAGCAAGUUAGGGGCAGCUUGGGAAGGUGGAGGAGGGGUGCACUGGGAGAGUGCUGGGGCUGUGCAGCUC
rnacentral:lncRNA from 1 species